UUUCCAAACAAUGACUCAUGGUCAUGUUGGAAUAGGUGGCUACCUAAGGAAUUGAUUGAAUUUAAUACGUAGCUUCUUGGUCUUAAAAAUGUUAGGCCCCACGUAGUCAAUUCAAGCUUUAAACAAAGCAAAUUUUCCAUUUCUCAUGAACAACCACCAACAGAAUGACAAGCUCCCACAAGAAAACGUUUUCUUCAUUUCAAAACCAAGUCAAGUUCGUUUCAAUUUCAAGUAAAUUCAGUUUAAAUUUCGCGAAAGCAGAUUCAUUCAAAUAAUUCAAGAAACAGGGUCAGACAGACAGACGGGUAGACCUCCUCAGUAGGUGUUGCCCGAGAUCAGCUUUAUCAGUAAGCUCCCCUUCUUUCGGAGUUACCGGGUCUAGCAGUGUGGUGUGCAUCUUGUGUAUAUAUGUAGAUAGGUUAUGGGUAGGUCGGGGCCCUGUUCCGAUCAUAGUACAUCUAUUAUUAGAGGCUUGUAGAUAUGUCGUGUCAGUUAAUACCGUAUGUUGGUCUGGUAGGCCCUGUACGUAUAUUUUGUUAGCUUGUCAGUUGUAGUAAAUGUGACGGCCUUGUCGGCCCAGCCUUAUGUUGAUGGUUAGUCAGUAUUAGUCUCUA